rnacentral:lncRNA from 1 species
UUUACUAAUAAUCCCCGAAUUCUAUUUACAAGGUUAUUACAGAACCAAAAGAAAGAAAGAAAAAAAUUACAAAUGCAUCACAGCCUACAGCUAGAUCCGAGUAGCCUAAUUCAAUCUUAAUAUCCAAUAACAUGUGUUUCACCAAAUCCGGAUUCCAGAUUCUAAGGCCUUCUCUUAUUCAAAGAGUUUCAAAGUUCCAAGGAGCUUCAAGAGCCCCAGGCAAUGCUUACACUCUAAAUAACAAUUGUUAUAACAGAAUAGUGCACUUCUCUUACCCAAAGUGUUUCAAUGUUCCAAGGAGCCUCAAGGACUCCCGGCAGUGCUUAGACUUUGGAUAACAACUGUUGUAACUGAAUAGUACAGUGUGGAAUAGCCAUUCUUCAGGCAUCCAAGCUCUGAGGGAGAUCAAGGGUCCCAAAGCAUGGCUUACCAAAGGGGGGCAGAACUUAGAAACUAAGAAUAAGUGCAAAGUGAGAUAGGGAUUAAGGAGCCAUAGCAGAGGGCGGUCAUACCCAGCCAUGGGUAUAGACUGGCACACCUCUGACCCUCUGCUUGGUCAAACCAAAAAAUGAGCAGACAUUAAAAGUCAAUCUUGGGUUUGGAUGGUGAUUAGGACGCCACCAGACCUAAGUUAAGUCUCAGCACAUAAGCGGUAAAGGGAGUGGGGAAUUAACUUGAGUAGACAUUCGAGAGAACCUGAUUCUAAGUCAUGAGUGGCAAUAAUAAAAUACCAACAUGACUUAGAGUUACUCACACAUAAGAGGGGGGUCAAAGGGAAGGGGUACCACAUAAUAAAGCAUUUACAGAAACAUAAGGAAAGCAAAAAGGCACAAUAAACUUGAAGGUGCAGAACAUGAUAAAAAGAGCAUGACAAACUAAAUAGAGAAUGAAUAACAGAAUAAGGGAAAUAAACACAUAGUGUAUGAGGGUAUUAUUUAACUAGAAAGACAUAUGAUAUGCAAUUUUCAGAACAGCAGAACAACAAUAGCAAGUAAACAGCUAGAGAGUCAGCAGGAACAGACUCAGAAACUUCAGCAAGCACUUGAUAAUUCAAAGGGACUCAAAGAAUGUUUUUGCAAUAAUGAGAAGAGGAGCAGGGUGCUCAGUAGAGAAAGCAGUAGUAGAGAAAGUAGUAGUAGAGAAAGCAGUAGUAGACAAAGCAGUAGUGGAGAGAGUAGUAGUAGAGAAAGUAAUUUAUUUUUUAAGACAGAGGUGUCUGUGUGUGUAGAAUGUGUCAAAAGGUCGUGCCUUUUAUAGUGUACAAAUCAGGCAGAAGUAGGGUAAGAAAAAUAGUUAAAGAGCUGAUUGUCAAUUAACUACACAAGGCUUCCCUUCAUUAAGGGAUUCAGAUUCGAAAAGGGUAAAACUAUUUAAUGAAAGAAAUUGAAUAAACACUAUGUGCAAAGCAUACCUUGAGGACAAAUAUAAAAGUUAUUUAAGGACAAGGUUUUGAAAUACACAGAUUGUACAAAUAAGGAAAGAGAUCAAUUAACAACCAGUAAAUCAAAAGGGUCUGAGAUUUUAUAUGAAUGAACCAAGUCUGAAAAGGUGGACAAGGGUUUUACUCAGGUCUAGUCGUGGACAAAAUCAGUAGACAUUGGAAAGAAAUCAAUCAAGCUAUAUUCAGAAGGAAGCUUGCACUAAUUGCAAAUUUAAAAAACCAUUUAGAGGGAAAUUCAUAGUAUAUAAGGAGCAUACGAACACGUUAAGCAUGAAAGAAGACUGUAGUGUUAAAGAAUCAGUAGGAAAAUCCAGUGUAGAAGAGUUUUGGCAAAAGGUCAAAAACCAUGCGAAAAAUAUAUAUGAAUUCAGAAAUUAGGGUUUUUGAAAUCAAAUUAGUUCAGAGAUGAUAACAAGAAAAUCACAUACAAGUGGUCUAA